rnacentral:rRNA from 1 species
UGGGGAAUAUUGCACAAUGGGCGCAAGCCUGAUGUAGCCAUGCCGCGUGUAUGAAGAAGGCCUUCGGGUUGUAAAGUACUUUCAGUCGGGAGGAAGGUGGUAAGGUUAAUAACCUUAUCAAUUGACGUUACCGACAGAAGAAGCACCGGCUAACUCCGUGCCAGCAGCCGCGGUAAUACGGAGGGUGCAAGCGUUAAUCGGAAUUACUGGGCGUAAAGCGCACGCAGGCGGUUGAUUGAGUCAGAUGUGAAAUCCCCGGGCUUAACCCGGGAAUUGCAUCUGAUACUGGUCAGCUAGAGUCUUGUAGAGGGGGGUAGAAUUCCAUGUGUAGCGGUGAAAUGCGUAGAGAUGUGGAGGAAUACCGGUGGCGAAGGCGGCCCCCUGGACAAAGACUGACGCUCAGGUGCGAAAGCGUGGGGAGCAAACAGG